AACAUUAAAUGUUUUGAGGAUGAAUGCAAGUAAAUGGGAAACAAAUGACAAAGUGCUCACAGCCCUAUUCCCUCAUGUAGAUUUUGACAUUAAAAAAAAGAAAUCCCUUUCUGUUACCUUCUCUCAAUGCCCAGUUCAGAAUUUCUGAAUUUGUAUAGACUGUGCCAAGGAGAAACCAAAAUUACUAUUCUAGAACCAUAACGGAGAAAAGUGGGAUUUAUUUAGCAAUAACACAUUUCUGAAAUUGUCAUACGUGAUAUCACUGAGGUCCCAUGACAUCUUUUGAGAGGGGUUAUGGGUUUUCUCGUCCCCAAGGGACAGUGCAUAGGCACGUCUUGAAAGCUGACUACCAUUUUAACAAAGGAAGCCCCCCACAUAGAAUAAGAAGAGGAUUGAAAGAAAAGGUGCAGAAAUGUUCUAAGAGAACAAAAACAAAAAAUAAUUAAUUUUAAGGCUUACCUUAGGUUUCCUAACCAAGGUUUUUCUUUUUUAAUCAAUAUAUUUUUCAACCAAAAUAUAUCAACAAUUAAAACAGGAGACAGAGACUGCAACCCCAUCACAUCCCGUAAUGUUCCUGAAUCUGACUCUCUCAGUCAUGGUUGGCUACUUGCACCUCAAGAGUCUCUGAGGAGAAAUAUAGGCAGGAAAGCAUCUGGUUUCCUGAAUAAAGAAAUGGGAAAAAUCUCCAAUAAGGCUUUGAAGUCACUAAGAAUGCACUGGCCUGCCAUCCUGAGGAGCAUUUCACACUCAGAAGCCUACCUGAUGAUCUUAUGUAGAGUGAGUACGAUAUUGUCAUUUAUAAUAGGAAUUAUAUAUUUGGUCUUCCUCCUGUUUGUGGCACAGUACUCCUAAAAC